rnacentral:rRNA from 1 species
AUUGAACGCUGGCGGCAGGCCUAACACAUGCAAGUCGAACGAGUGGCGGACGGGUGAGUAAUGUCUGGGAAACUGCCUGAUGGCAGGGGGUAACUACUGGAAACGGUAGCUAAUACCGCAUACCAUCGGAUGUGCCCAGAUGGGAUUAGCUAGUAGGUGGGGUAAAGGCUCACCUAGGCGACGAUCCCUAGCUGGUCUGAGAGGACGACCAGCCACACUGGAACUGAGACACGGUCAGGACUCCUACGGAAGGCAGCGGGGGGGAAUAUUGCACAAUGGGGGCAAGCCUGAGGCAGCCAGGCCGCGUGUAUGAAGAGGGCCUUCGGGUUGUAAAGUACUUUCAGCGGGGAGGCGUUACCCGCAGAAGAAGCACCGGCUAACUCCGUGCCAGCAGCCGCGGUAAUAC